rnacentral:rRNA from 1 species
CCUACGGGUGGCAGCAGUGAGGAAUAGUGGUCAAUGGCCGGAAGGCUGAACCAGCCAAGCCGCGUGAGGGAGGAAGGCGCAGAGCGUCGCAGACCUCUUUUGCCGGGGGACAAAAGGACGGACUCGUCCGGGCCUGAGGGGAACCGGAGAAAAAGCAACGGCUAAAUCCGGGCCAGCAGCCGCGGUAAUACGGAGGAGGCGAGCUUUCUCCGGAUGCAUUGGGUUUAAAGGGUGCGCAGGCGGGCCUUUAAGCCGGCGGUGAAAUCGCGGUGCUCAACACCGCCGAGCCGUCGGAAAUGGGGGCCUUGAGUGCGGCGGAGGCAUGCGGAAUGCGCGGUGUAGCGGUGAAAUGCAUAGAUAUCGCGCAGAACCCCGAUUGCGAAGGCAGCGUGCCGUGCCGCCACUGACGCUGAGGCACGAAAGCGCGGGGAUCGAACAGGAUUAGAUACCCCUGUAGUC